GACGAACGCUGGCGGCGUGCUUAACACAUGCAAGUCGAACGGUGAAAGGGAGCUUGCUCCCUGGAUCAGUGGCGAACGGGUGAGUAACACGUGGGCAACCUGCCCCAGACUUCGGGAUAACGCUUCGAAAGAGGUGCUAAUACCGGAUACGAACUCCUUGGGCAUCCUUGGAGUUGGAAAGUUUUUCGGUCUGGGAUGGGCCCGCGGCCUAUCAGCUUGUUGGUGAGGUAACGGCUCACCACGGCGACGACGGGUAGCCGGCCUGAGAGGGCGACCGGCCACACUGGGACUGAGAAACGGCCAAGGCUCCUACGGGAGGAAGCAGUGGGGAAUAUUGCGCAAUGGGCGAAAGCCUGACGCAGCAACGCCGCGUGAGGGAUGACGGCCUUCGGGUUGUAAACCUCUUUCAGCAGGGAAGAAGCGAAGGUGACGGUACCUGCAGAAGAAGCACCGGCUAACUACGUGCCAGCAGCCGCCGUAA
rnacentral:rRNA from 1 species